AUUAGGUGAGACUAACCCACCAACCACACACCAGCUUCAGGGAAAGGAGAUGCCAACAUGGGAAUAUGGCCAGAAGGAGACUUUCAAGAACCCUCACUUCACCAGCAGCAGGAUCAAACAAAUGGGACAAAGCACACGCCCAAAACAGCCAAGCACCGAGCACCUGUCCUGCAAGCAGGCCCUCUCAUGUCCUGGUUUUGCCCACUGCCAACGCUCCCAGCUCCAGCUAUACUCUGCACAAAAUCCCUGCCUCUCGCUCAGGUUCCCCCACCGUGGUCAAGUAUCAACCAUCCGCUUGAAACAUACUUUCGCAGUUUCUCUCUGCCCUCCCUUCAAUAAAAAGUGGAGACGGUGAAGUUGGGGAUCCUGUCAAGAACGCUUGGUGUAUUAAAGAUCGAUUUUUGUGUAAA